CUUGCCUGCUAUCUCUUACCCAUGUCUUUUGAGUACCUUACGUUUCCUCGGCGGGUCCGCCCGCCGAUUGGACAAUUUAAACCAUUUGCAGUUGCAAUCAGCGUCUGAAAAAACUUAAUAGUUACAACUUUCAACAACGGAUCUCUUGGUUCUGGCAUCGAUGAAGAACGCAGCGAAAUGCGAUAAGUAGUGUGAAUUGCAGAAUUCAGUGAAUCAUCGAAUCUUUGAACGCACAUUGCGCCCCUUGGUAUUCCAUGGGGCAUGCCUGUUCGAGCGUCAUUUGUACCUUCAAGCUCUGCUUGGUGUUGGGUGUUUGUCUCGCCUCUGCGUGUAGACUCGCCUCAAAACAAUUGGCAGCCGGCGUAUUGAUUUCGGAGCGCAGUACAUCUCGCGCUUUGCACUCAUAACGACGACGUCCAAAAGUACAUUUUUACACUCUUGACCUCGGAUCAGGUAGGGAUACCCGCUGAACUUAAGCAUAUCAAUAAGCGGAGGAAAAGAAACCAACAGGGAUUGCCCUAGUAACGGCGAGUGAAGCGGCAACAGCUCAAAUUUGAAAUCUGGCGUCUUUGGCGUCCGAGUUGUAAUUUGCAGAGGGCGCUUUGGCAUUGGCAGCGGUCCAAGUUCCUUGGAACAGGACGUCACAGAGGGUGAGAAUCCCGUACGUGGUCGCUAGCCUUUACCGUGUAAAGCCCCUUCGACGAGUCGAGUUGUUUGGGAAUGCAGCUCUAAAUGGGAGGUAAAUUUCUUCUAAAGCUAAAUACUGGCCAGAGACCGAUAGCGCACAAGUAGAGUGAUCGAAAGAUGAAAAGCACUUUGGAAAGAGAGUUAAAAAGCACGUGAAAUUGUUGAAAGGGAAGCGCUUGCAGCCAGACUUGCCUGUAGUUGCUCAUCCGGGUUUCUACCCGGUGCACUCUUCUAUAGGCAGGCCAGCAUCAGUUUGGGCGGUUGGAUAAAGGUCUCUGUCAUGUACCUCCUUUCGGGGAGAACUUAUAGGGGAGACGACAUGCAACCAGCCUGGACUGAGGUCCGCGCAUCUGCUAGGAUGCUGGCGUAAUGGCUGUAAGCGGCCCGUCUUGAAACACGGACCAAGGAGUCUAACAUCUAUGCGAGUGUUUGGGUGUCAAGCCCGAGCGCGUAAUGAAAGUGAACGGAGGUGGGAACCUUUCGGGGUGCACCAUCGACCGAUCCUGAUGUCUUCGGAUGGAUUUGAGUAAGAGCAUAGCUGUUGGGACCCGAAAGAUGGUGAACUAUGCUUGAAUAGGGUGAAGCCAGAGGAAACUCUGGUGGAGGCUCGCAGCGGUUCUGACGUGCAAAUCGAUCGUCAAAUUUGGGCAUAGGGGCGAAAGACAAUC
rnacentral:rRNA from 1 species